AGUAACACGUGGCCAAACUACCCUUCGGAACACAAUACCCUCGGGAAACUGAGGCUAAUAGUGUAUACCGCAUCACACCUGGAAUGAGUGAUGCGCCAAACGCUCCGGCGCCGAAGGAUGUGGCUGCGGCCGAUUAGGUAGACGGUGGGGUAACGGCCCACCGUGCCAAUAAUCGGUACGGGUCAUGAGAGUGAGAACCCGGAGACGGAAUCUGAGACAAGAUUCCGGGCCCUACGGGGCGCAGCAGGCGCGAAACCUUUACACUGCACGACAGUGCGAUAAGGGAAUCCCAAGUGCGUAGGCAUAGAGCCUACGCUUUUGUCUACCGUAGGGAGGUGGACGAAUAAGGGCUGGGCAAGACCGGUGCCAGCCGCCGCGGUAAUACCGGCAGCCCGAGUGAUGGCCGAUCUUAUUGGGCCUAAAGCGUCCGUAGCUGGCCGCGCAAGUCUAUCGGAAAAUCCACCCGCUCAACGGGUGGGCGUCCGGUAGAAACUGCGUGGCUUGGGACCGGAAGGCGCGACGGGUACGUCCGGGGUAGGAGUGAAAUCCUGUAAUCCUGGACGGACCGCCGAUGGCGAAAGCACGUCGCGAAGACGGAUCCGACAGUGAGGGACGAAAGCUAGGGUCUCGAACCGGAUUAGAUACCCGGGUAG
rnacentral:rRNA from 1 species